rnacentral:rRNA from 1 species
GACGAACGCUGGCGGCGUGCUUAACACAUGCAAGUCGAACGGAAAGGCCCUGCUCUUGUGGGGUGCUCGAGUGGCGAACGGGUGAGUAACACGUGAGUAACCUGCCCUUGUCUUUGGGGUAUCUUCAGGAAACUGGGGCUAAUAUCGGAUAGGAUCUCCUGCUGCGUGGUGGGCGUUGGAAAGUUUCGGCGGUUGGGGCUGGACUCGCGGCUUACGAGCUUGUUGGUGGGGUAGUGGCUUACCAAGGGUGUGACGGAUAGCCGGCCUGGGAGGGUGGCCAGCCACAUGAGUACUGAGGGAGGGAGCAGACUGGUACGGUAGGCAACAGGGGGGAGUAUUGCACAGUGGGCGGGAGCGUGAUGUGAAGGCCCCGCGUGCGGGAAGACGGCCUUCGGGGUGUAAACCGCUGUCGCCUGUGACAAAGCGGGAGUGACGGUAAUGAAUAAAGAAGCACCGGCUAACUACGUG